rnacentral:tRNA from 1 species
UCCCUGGUGGCUCAGUUGGUAAAGAAUCUGCUUCCAGUGCAGGAAACUUGGGUUCGAAUCCUGGUUUGGGAA